UACAGAGGGUGCAAGCGUUAAUCGGAAUUACUGGGCGUAAAGCGUGCGUAGUCGGUUAUCUAAGUCAGGUGUGAAAUCCCCGGGCUCAACCUGGGAAUUGCAUCUGUGACUGCAUAGCUAGAGUACGGUAGAGGGGGAUGGAAUUCCGCGUGUAGCAGUGAAAUGCGUAGAUAUGCGGAGGAACACCGAUGGCGAAGGCAAUCCCCUGGACCUGUACUGACGCUCAUGCACGAAAGCGUGGGGAGCAAACAGG
rnacentral:rRNA from 1 species